rnacentral:RNase_P_RNA from 1 species
GAAGCGAGCCAGACCGUCGCUGGUGCAAGGUCCCGAAAGGGCGCACUGGAGGAAGGUCCGGACUGCACAGGGCAGCGCAGCAGCUAACGGCUGUCCACCGCGAGGUGAGGAUCAGAGCUACAGAGACGAGUCAAGACGGGGUGCCUGGUACGGGUGUUCUGUCAGCCGCCGGCGCAAGCCGGUGCCCGAUGCGGCGUGCCGCAGCGGGUCGGGCGCAAGCCCGAAGCUGGCAGCCACCCAAGUCGGGGCAACGCCCCGACUUGGGUGAAACGAGCAAUCUCUGCGCGCAGCAACACCAAAUAGGCCAGCGUUGAUGUGGCUCCGCGGAGCUGGCGGGUAGGUGGCACCGAGCCGUGCAGCGAUGCACGGCCCAGAGGAAUGACGGUCACGGCCGGGCGAUCGCAAGACCGCUCGGCUGCACAGAAUCCGGCCUAUCGGCUCGCUUCACAC